rfam:Gossypium arboreum cultivar AKA8401 contig_10323_3, whole genome shotgun sequence.
AUCCCAUGAUGAGGACACUUACGAAGUAACUCCUUGAAUCGCUCACAAGCCUCAUACAAAGACUCUUCAUCCAAUUAUUGGAAAUUUGUGAUCUCGUUCAUCAACUU